CCUACGGGGCGCAGCAGUGGGGAAUAUUGGACAAUGGGCGAAAGCCUGAUCCAGCCAUGCCGCGUGUGUGAAGAAGGCCUUCGGGUUGUAAAGCACUUUCAGUGGGGAAGAAAGCCUUGGGGCUAAUACCCUCGAGGAAGGACAUCACCCACAGAAGAAGCACCGGCUAACUCCGUGCCAGCAGCCGCGGUAAUACGGAGGGUGCGAGCGUUUAUCGGAAUUACUGGGCGUAAAGCGCGCGUAGGCGGUCUGAUAAGCCGGUUGUGAAAGCCCCGGGCUCAACCUGGGAACGGCAUCCGGAACUGUCAGGCUAGAGUGCAGGAGAGGAAGGUAGAAUUCCCGGUGUAGCGGUGAAAUGCGUAGAGAUCGGGAGGAAUACCAGUGGCGAAGGCGGCCUUCUGGACUGACACUGACGCUGAGGUGCGAAAGCGUGGGUAGCAAACAGGAUUAGAUACCCUGGUAGUC
rnacentral:rRNA from 1 species